GGUUUUCCCAAAUGCACAUGCUUGAUGGGCUGCCAGUCUCCCCACCUCCCUGCUGCUGGACAUGGAUGUUCUCAAACAAGGCUCCCGCUGUUCUCAUUGCAUGCAGUCAUCCCACACAACUCAUGAAGCUGCCCACAACUCAACUCAGGGAGCAAGUGCUCCAUACCUAUGGUCCCUCCACCACAAUAUUGACUGCGCUGCACCCCAGGAUCCUGAGAUGACCAACUGGAGGGAAGAGGCAGGGAUGAACAACUAUUUGUGUCCAGGAUGAUACCACAGGUAAGCUGAAGAAGGAG
rnacentral:lncRNA from 1 species